AAGUCGUAACAAGGUUUCCGUAGGUGAACCUGCGGAAGGAUCAUUGAAAGUGAUUGGUUAUACAUUUCAUGUAUCAACUUGCACUAACCCAUUCCAGAGUACCUUGCCCUGUUGUCUUCCAUGGGGCCUGACCUAGGUACCACUCUUGUGAUGUGAAACCCAAGAGAGUCCCCAUGGGAGGUAAUCAUUAAAUUCAUGUAUCCAAUGUCUUCUGUUCUGAACUGUUUAUAACAAGUGUUAAAA
rnacentral:misc_RNA from 1 species